rnacentral:rRNA from 1 species
CUUUACUAUAGCCUGGAAUUGUGUUCGGGCUUUUCUUGCGCAGCCUAGGUGGGAGGCUAUGAGGAUUUCCUUCCGGGGAAGUUGGAGCCAUCAGUGAGAGACCACUCUGGAGAGGCUAGAAUCCUAAUGGUGAUCCUUGAAUCAGGACACUUGACAGUUUCAGGUGGGCAGUUUUUCUGGGGCGGAAGCCUCAUAAAGGGUAACUGAGGCGCGCAAAGGUCCCCUCAGUCUGGACGGAAAUCAGACAACGAGUGUAAAGGCAAAAGGGGGCUUGACUGCAAGACCUACAAGUCGAGCAGGAGCGAAAGCUGGCCUUAGUGAUCCGACGGUACCGUGUGGAAGGGCCGUCGCUCAACGAAUAAAAGUUA